rnacentral:tRNA from 1 species
UCUAAUAUGGCAGAUUAGUGCCAUGGAUUUAAGCUCCAUAAAUAAAGAGUUUUCUUUUAUUAGAA